UACGAAGGGGGCUAGCGUUGCUCGGAAUCACUGGGCGUAAAGGGUGCGUAGGCGGGUCUUUAAGUCAGGGGUGAAAUCCUGGAGCUCAACUCCAGAACUGCCUUUGAUACUGAGAAGCUUGAGUCCGGGAGAGGUGAGUGGAACUGCGAGUGUAGAGGUGAAAUUCGUAGAUAUUCGCAAGAACACCAGUGGCGAAGGCGGCUCACUGGCCCGGUACUGACGCUGAGGUGCGAAAGCGUGGGUAGCAAACAGG
rnacentral:rRNA from 1 species